GAAAUGCGAUAAGUAAUGUGAAUUGCAGAAUUCAGUGAAUCAUCGAAUCUUUGAACGCAUAUUGCGCUCUCCGGCAUUCCGGAGAGCAUGCCUGUUUGAGUAUUGGCCUAAAUGAGAGUCUUCCUUUAAAGAUAUAAAAAGAACGUUAAGAACCCUCAGUUGAGACUUCUCGACAAUUCAUUGCCGAGUGUUUUAAAAUGCAAUAGUACCGCCACGUUUGCGAACUUGGAGUAAUAUGUGAGCCUGAAAAGGUGACCUCUAUUCUCCUCGGACCACGUAGACCUGUUAAGCGGGAAGUUUUUGAAUGCCGAAUUAUGGGAGACGGUGUUCAAUUGUUCGAGUAACGACGAACGAAAUAAACUCAAUCUCAAAUCAGGUAGGAUUACCCGCUGAACUUAA
rnacentral:misc_RNA from 1 species